UCAGAGAAACUUCCUAUCUCAUUACUAUUUAGAUGCCUACAUUUGGAGCCCUAAAGGACAGCAGGGUGGUGGCACUGUCCCAGCCUUCACAUGAGAAAAACCAAGAGCCCAGGGACAAAAUGAUUUGCCCACGGUGCCACCGAUAAUUUGGUAAAGCUGAAGUCCCUCGUUUACCCACAGGGCCUUCUAAGCUCUUCCCUUUUCCCCACCCCAGCCUUGAUUCUCCCUUAUCUGCUUCCUAGAUAAAGACUGCUUACGGGUAGUGGGUGGGGAAGAAGGGGUGUGUAUCUUGGCAGCCAUGUUGGACCUGAGACACCCAGUCUCUGCUGGGUUCCUGGGAAGACCGGAAGCUCGCUCUCUCAUGCAGCCCAGACCAUGGAAAACACGACUCUAGGAGCCAAUGAUGUCCCCGCUCUCCCUCUUCCAGACCUCCCACUCCUUGCAGUCAGGACUCAGAAGCCAGCUCAAACCAUACCGGAAAUCUACUUACUGGCCUCAGGGCUGAGGCGAGAACCCAUUAGCCUGGGCUCCUCCUGGGGCACAAGUCCCUGGGUCUGGAGAUGUCUGUGAAGGCCAGUGGUCAGGGUUACAAGACUCUGAAGGUUCUCCUUUUAUAGGCUGGAGAUCACGUUACAGAGUUGAUGAUUAAUUAGAUGCUGUCACGCAUGACGAUAUCCGGGACUUUCCCCAUGACCUCUCGUGGCUCACAGUGGACUGCUGCAGCAGCCUGGCCUGAGAAAAGAAAGGAAGCAGGGGCUGGGACUGCGGCUGCAGCAGACGGUUCUUUCUGUUUGACUUCUAAGCAGCCCCUGUCUGAAUUAUAAUCGCAUGUUAGUAAACACCCGUGCCCCCACCACCACCACUCCCCUCAGGAACUCCACCUUCUUCUAUAAAGACUCUAGUAGCUCUGGUCUGGGGUGAGAUCUGCACAUCUGGAGUUUCAAAGAGCAUGCGGGAACUUCGAUAUGCAGCCGGCAUGGAGACCAACCCCACAUACAGAAGGUGUGUCCCGUUGCUGAAUCCUAGGACCUGUGAAGUUGAGCCUGCCCAGUGGCAAGGUCUGAUGUUCUGCUCUGGAGACUUCCUCCAGCCGGCAUGCCGUGCCUAAGUGAGAAGUGGCCAGAGGAAGGUGGGUGUCAUCAGCGGAGCCCUGGUUACCUCAGACGUUGCUGUAACCCCUGGACUUUCAUUUUCCGGCCACACCCUUGCUGAGCGCCCUUUGUCUCUGCACUAGAUGUAUAACUUCUGCCAAGGCCACAGGUAGCUGCUCUGGAGCCAGUACCAGUCCCUUGGGCCUGAGACCUGUGGAUCCUAAAGGUUGCAGUUUGCCCAAUGUCCCAGCUGGCUCAGUCUAAAAGGCUCAGGCUCCUGGUACCUCCUGGCAGGCAAACCAGUCUCUGGGCAGUUCUAGAUGCUCCUCCCUCGCUGGGCUUUACCUGGCUGCCUUGAGUGGCUGCCCAGGGCUGGAGCCAAGAGAUCCUUGUUGAUUAUCUGCAUUCCCCUAAUAGAGGUAUGUGGGCACCUGAUCAAGGUGCCUGCUCUGCAGCUUUAGACUUUAUAGAAAAUGGGCUAGCUGCAGACCAGCAGGCAGCUGGUAUGGCUCCCAGACAGGACCUGUAGCCUGCUCAGGCCAGCAAACAGCAGAUGGAAAAAGCAAGGCCACAGACACCCGCAUCCAAAUGAAUUUAGCUACCCCACUGAUGGGGUUCGGGGUAUGCCAUUCUAAACAGGCUCCCUACAUUUGGGAGGUAGCAUAAACGGAAGGCCCCUGUCUUCUACCCUCACCUUUCUCCUAUGAAGCCAGCCCUGAGUCUCUCAUGCUAUGAUCUACUGACAUCAGGGCAGGGGAGGACCGGAACAGACUGUGCCUGCUAGGCCCUGCCCUGCUCAGCACUGUUCAUUGACACUCACCUCUGCCCCAGUAUCCUCACUAUAAUAGGAUUUACAGUCACUUGUGGGCUCAACUUCAAGCCACAGUACGAACAUACAGACAGACCUCUCAUUUCUCUGGGUCUUCCUGUUUUUGAAACAUGGUCCCAGCUAGCCCAGCCUUGCCAUGACCUUAAACCCUCAAUCCUCCUGCCUCUACUCUUUAAUGCUGGUGAGAUGGCUCUUACCUGCUGCUAAGCUUGACCCAGGGACACACAUGGUGAGUGGAGAAGCCUGACAGCUGCCCUCUGACCUUUACACAUGUGUCAUGGCAUGUGUAUGUCCACACUCACAAAAAUAAAUCAUACACACACACACCACACAUAUACCAUAUACACCACACACAUCUAUACACACACACACACACACACACACACACACAGACAAACUUCAUGCCUGCCAGGCAAGCACCCUGCCAACUUAGCUACAUCCCCAGCCCUAUGUCAUUUUCUUCCUUUGAAAAUACUUUUGUCUCGAAAAACCAAACAAAAAUAAAUAAAUACUUUUAAGUUUUA